rnacentral:rRNA from 1 species
AGCUUCUGGUGCCGCAGGGUAGCCGUGAAGCGAGCCACCUGGGAAGUACGGCCGCAAGGCUGAAACUUAAAGGAAUUGGCGGGGGAGCACUACAACGGGUGGAGCCUGCGGUUUAAUUGGACUCAACGCCGGAAAACUCACCUGGGGCGACAGCAAUAUGUAGGUCAGGCUGAAGGUCUUACCUGAAUCGCUGAGAGGAGGUGCAUGGCCGUCGUCAGUUCGUACUGUGAAGCAUCCUGUUAAGUCAGGCAACGAGCGAGACCCGUGCCCACUGUUGCCAGCAUAUCCUUCGG